CCCUUAGAUGUUCUGGGCUGCACGCGCGCUACACUGAUGCAUUCAACAAGUGUUACCUUGGCCGAGAGGUCUGGGAAAUCUUCUGAAUAUGCAUCGUGAUAGGGAUAGAUUAUUGCAAUUAUUAAUCUUGAACGAGGAAUUCCUAGUAAAUGCAGAUCAUCAUUCUGCGUUGAUUACGUCCCUGCCCUUUGUACACACCGCCCGUCGCUCCUACCGAUUGAGCGGUCCGGUGAGGCUUUGGGAUCUGAGCGGAAAGAGCGUUUCGCUCGUUCUGCCCGGAAAACUCAGUCGAACCUUAUCAUUUAGAGGAAGGAGAAGUCGUAACA
rnacentral:rRNA from 1 species